AGCACUCUGGACUCUGAAUCCAGC
rnacentral:piRNA from 6 species